UACGGAGGGCGCUAGCGUUGUUCGGAUAUACUGGGCGUAAAGCGCACGUAGGCGGCGCCGUAAGUCAGGGGUGAAAUCCCGGAGCUCAACUCCGGAACUGCCCUUGAAACUGCAGUGCUAGAAUCUUGGAGAGGCGAGUGGAAUUCCGAGUGUAGAGGUGAAAUUCGUAGAUAUUCGGAAGAACACCAGUGGCGAAGGCGACUCGCUGGACAAGUAUUGACGCUGAGGUGCGAAAGCGUGGGGAGCAAACAGG
rnacentral:rRNA from 1 species